rnacentral:rRNA from 1 species
AUGCACACACACCCACGCCCAACCCACGCACACACACCCACGUCGGAUCCCAUCUCUCUCGUCUUCCUCGAUCCCCUUUCUCCACCCCACGCCGUCGCCAGAUUCCGGCGAUCCCCGCCGUUCCCCACUGCCCAGCUCUCCUCCCCGAGGUCACCUCUCCCCGCUCACCAUCUCCACCGACUGGUUUCUCUCCUCGCCCAGGAGAGCCACGCCCAGGCACUGGUGGUGCACCGCGAGGAGGCCCCAGCAGCGUCGAGCUGCUGUUGCUGCGGGCACAGCGGCGUCGGCGUGGUCGCGAUGGUAGCAGCCCUUCAAGAUUCUCAGCGGCGGCGUCUCGGCGCUGAUGGCGGAGUCGACGGCGAGCAUCGGCGGGUACAUGGCGUCGGGGUACCGGAGGGUGGCCGGCGUGCAGCUCUCCAUCAACCACCUCAAGCCCGCCCGCCUCGGCGACCGCAUCGAGGCCAAGGCGAACCCCAUCCGGUACCUCAACCCCGACGCGUCCUUGGACAAGGACCAGCUGCUAGACGCGGUGCACUAGAUCCGGCAGGCGGUGGGGCUCGCCUGCGGCCUGUUCUGGGGCGCCGCCCCCCUCGUUGGCGCCUUCUGGAUCGCCCUGUCAGUCCCUCCCUCCCUCCAUCCUCAAAGCCCCAACCUUCUUCUUUCCCUUCAGACAUAGGCAUAGAUUCAGGUUCAUUGUUAACUGAAUUCAUAAGCUCAUCUCACACUGAAUUUGGGACCCCCUUUCCAUCGUGUAGUAUAGUAGUAGCAAGUCAGCCACACAUGAAUUAG